ensembl:lncRNA
UAUCCCCCCAGCAUGCCCUACCAGUACAACGAGCCCUACUAACAGAUGUGUGAAGACGAACGGAGAGAUGAGAAGUGCAUAGAGAGAGGGAUCUGCUGAACCAGGGAGGAAGCGUGAGGACGAAGUGGAAGAAAUGCGUCAUCACCGCUGUAUCACGACUCUGAUGUGACGCUCUGUUCUGCUCUGCGCUGCGGACGUUAAAUGUUCCUCAACCUAGUGAGUGUUUUCAUGUUGACAUGCUCUCACAGGCACGUUUCUAGUGUGUGAUAUUGUGUGCAGUCACCCUACAAACACACUCCUGAAACCUACUGUUAAUUCCCUUUUAAAAGAUGGAUCAUUCUGUGGAGCAAUCACCUGUGUCAAAAUGUGCUGCUGUUCCUGAAGAGGGCCCCAGAGGACUGGAUGUGAAUUACAGAGACCUGAUUGGUAACACCACUGCA